CAAGCAUGUAGUGGAAUGGUUAUUGCCACAGAUGUGACAUUUGUGAUCUGAACUUGCCUUGCCUCAAGCAACAGGAUGGCCUCCAAAGGUUCAAGCCAUGCAUGAUUACACAAGCCACUGACAGUGACAAGCUGCAUCUGAAGGCUGGGGAUGUGGUACUUGUGAUUCCCUUUGAGAACCCUGAGGAAAAGGACAAAGGAUGGCUGAUGGGCAUGAAGGAGUCUGACUGGAUCCAGUAUAAGGAACCUGACCAACACUGAGGGGUUUUCCCUGAGAAUUUCACUGAGCAGGUGCAGUGAAAGUCCAAGCCCACCACUCAACAUUUCUGCUGGGAGAAACAAAUUUUCUGGUAGAUAAUUGAAUAAAAGAGCAGCAACAUAAAAAGAGGAGAUAAUUUUAAAGGAACAGAAGCCUGAAAUUAAAAGUCAGCUUAAAGGGUGUGUUCUUAUAAAAGGGCAAGGUUUCAGAAGUAAAUCGAAAUUCAAAGUGUUAUCAAAAUAUAUACAUACAUAUAAGUCAAAUGCUCUCUUCUUUUGAUUUUAAUGGCAUUUGGAUUCAGAGGAUUGAUGCAGAAGCAACUGACUAUGGUUCACAAAUACUGCAUUGACUGGACUGGUGAGAUGCUAGUCUGAUCCCUGGAAAGGCGAUGUUUGUUUAAUGUCUUGAGAACAGAAGCUGCAUUUGCUCUUGGAUGGGUUCAUCUGUUUUGUCUUGAAGGUGGCUUUCAUGGCAACCAUAAAAAUUCAGCCUUCCCUACAUGUUCAACCAUCAGUAGGCCAAAAUUUCUGUUAUGCUGUUGGAAAAAUAUUUAAUGUAUAGUGUUCACCAAUACAAUGUAUGUGUGUGUGUUUUAUUUUGUUUCUUUAAAACAGCAUUACACAAACUGUGAUUUUGUACAGGCGAAGAUAGAGGAAACUGCAUAGAAAGGGCAUGGAGAAGAUGAAAAGUGUGAAGCUGUGCUUGAUUCAAAGUUCUUUCAAACACAGAUACCUGAAUUCAUGCCCUCUGAAAUGCUAAGGGGAAUGGACAAAUUCAAGAGGACAAACAAGACAAAACAAGAUGGCUCCAAAAUUCAGGAAAGGGAAUCCUCUGCUGCUAAAGCCCUGCAAAUAGUUUCAGAAAAGCUUAGAUUCAUGUAGGAGGAAAUUCACUCUAAAAUUUAUCUACUUUGAAAAUUUCAUUUUAAAGAAGGUGACAAGGAAUUUUUUUUUCUGAAAGAAUAGCAAAGAAAAAACAUGGUAGGAAAGAAAAAAAAAAGCCAAUUUGCUUUCUGUGUUCUUAAUUGAAAUUGCUAUCUGUGGAAUUCUAUUUCAUGUCUUCUUAUGAAGAGUUUUGUAUGUGAAAUAUUGUUAGAUCAGCUUUCUCCAGUGCUGUGCUGGUGAUCAAGUUAACCUCUAUGAAAACUGUAUUCUUAAAAUAUUCAAUUAAAAAAUGACUGCAUGACUUCAUGAUAUUUUAACGCAUUAGGAAGGAAGGCAAGAAUUUCAAAGUGUCAGUGUCAAGAAGAUACUCAGCAGUCUAGUAGUGAUGCUGAGACCUUUCCUGUACCUUUCCUUUGCUUCUGUUUGAGUUUAAGCCAGCAGAUGACAAGGCUGUUUCAGAGUGCAUAUUACACUUGUUAAAAUAAGUGUCACGGAGGGGUAUUCUGCUGCCUACGCCAGUUGUGGUGGAGGGGAGAAAUUAAUUGAUGUGAGAGGAUAUUUUAUAAAAAUAUAUAUUUAUUAACUUCAA